rnacentral:rRNA from 1 species
UACGAAGGGGGCUAGCGUUGCUCGGAAUCACUGGGCGUAAAGUGCACGUAGGCGGCUUUUUAAGUCAGGGGUGAAAUCCUGGAGCUCAACUCCAGAACUGCCUUUGAUACUGGGAAGCUUGAGUCCGGGAGAGGUGAGUGGAACUCCGAGUGUAGAGGUGAAAUUCGUAGAUAUUCGGAAGAACACCAGUGGCGAAGGCGGCUCACUGGCCCGGUACUGACGCUGAGGUGCGAAAGCGUGGGGAGCAAACAGG